rnacentral:misc_RNA from 1 species
AAGUCGUAACAAGGUUUCCGUAGGUGAACCUGCGGAAGGAUCAUUAUCGAGAUCGAACCUCUGGGAGGGGGGAGGGCUUCCCCGAACCCUUUCGAGGCUUCAGCCCUCUAACACCUGUGUGCACCCGCUGUAGGUCCUUAGGGACCUAUGUCUUCUUCCAACUCGCAUGUCUACAGAACGUCGUCCGUGACCUCGGUCACAGGAAACCUAAUACAACUUUCAGCAAUGGAUCUCUUGGCUCUC